AGCGAACGCUGGCGGCAGGCUUAACACAUGCAAGUCGAGCGGGCACUUUCGGGUGUCAGCGGCGGACGGGUGAGUAACGCGUGGGAACGUGCCCUCUGGUUCGGAAUAACUCAGGGAAACUUGAGCUAAUACCGGAUACGCCCUUUUGGGGAAAGGCUUGCUGCCGGAGGAUCGGCCCGCGUCUGAUUCGCUAGUUGGUGAGGUAACGGCUCACCAAGGCGACGAUCAGUAGCUGGUCUGAGAGGAUGAUCAGCAACACUGGGACUGAGACACGGCCCGGACUCCUACGGGAGGCAGCAGUGGGGAAUAUUGGACAAUGGGCGCAAGCCUGAUCCAGCCAUGCCGCGUGAGUGAUGAAGGCCUUAGGGUUGUAAAGCUCUUUUAUCCGGGACGAUAAUGACGGUACCGGAGGAAUAAGCCCCGGCUAACUUCGUG
rnacentral:rRNA from 1 species